rnacentral:rRNA from 1 species
CCCUUAGAUGUUCUGGGCUGCACGCGCGCUACACUGAUGCACUCAACGAGUUUACGACCUUGCCCGAUAGGGUUGGGUAAUCUUUUUAAAAUGCAUCGUGAUGGGGAUAGAUUAUUGCAAUUAUUAAUCUUCAACGAGGAAUUCCUAGUAAGCGCGAGUCAUCAGCUCGUGCUGAUUACGUCCCUGCCCUUUGUACACACCGCCCGUCGCUCCUACCGAUUGAGUGCUCAGGUGAAUAAUUCGGACUGCAGCAAUGUUUGGAUCCCGAACGUUGCAGCGGAAAGUUUAGUAAACCUUAUCACUUAGAGGAAGGAGAAGUCGUAACA